ensembl:lncRNA
AAGACCUAUAAACAGCAUUUAGAGAGACAGAGGCUGGCUGGGAUGUUGGAAAAGAUGUCUGGGAGCAAUGAGUUCAGUGAUGGUAAGAGCUCAGUUAAGAAGGCUUUGUGGAGUCCAAACCUGACUCAACUCUCCCAGAAUGCUGUUCUGCAUGUAGAGGACAAUGCAAAAGCCGGUCAGGUGUACUAUCUUCCCUGGCAGCAGCUGAAGGAAUGUUUUCUUGCAGAGAAGGUGAGCCAGCCCAAGUCAUCUAAAGCGGUUUCCAGGAUCUGGGCUUCCAAUGAUCCCAGGUCAAUCCCACAGAAGAAGCAGGGUAAAAGAAAGAGUCCCACAGGGGAGCUGGAUGAGGCAUCUGGAGUCAGUAAAUGCAAAAGAGCCAUGGAGAAAAACAUCUCUGAUGUGACCCUGCUCAAGACUGAUCCAUCCACUGGAAAUACGACAAAUACAAACAACAGAGUUGUAGCACCUUGUUCUCUGGAGUUUAAGAACAACAGAAUUAGCGUUUGGGGCCGCUCUCUGCAAUGUCAACCUCAGAUGACUUCACCAGCUAAACACCUCAGUGCCCCUUUAGCUAAGUACCUAGCCUCCACCAUCACACAGAGGGCCAUUGACAUCCAGCAGAUGGGCGCUGCAGCUGACCUUAUGAACUUCCUAAACACGCCUGAUGAGAAGCUGUCAUUGCAGCUCUGGGACUUAGGGGAGGAUGCAGGAGACCAGCGCUACAAAGCCCACUGGCAGUUCUUCACCCAGCAUGGCCAUAUUCUGAUGGACAGCACAUGGCUCCAGAACGAUGAGAAGUGGUGAUGAGACAGCCUCAAAUCUCCCAAAUGCUUCCUCUGUAGACUCUAAUCCAGAAAGGAGGAGACACUGCUGAUAUUCCCUGACAUUAAUUAGCAUUAUCAUCACUCAUGUUUGGGGUCAAGUCCAUUUAAUUUCUAGAAAUUCUGGAAGUUAACUGAAAUUUAAAUUUACUGAAAAAAUAAUCUCAAAGGAGGCCAUGGAGAUCAUCAGUUUUAAAUUAAGUUCAGUUGAAUUGACUGAAUUGGAAAGGAAUUGAUCCCACACAUAGAACAUGUACACACACACACACACACACACACACACACAC